UCUCCGUUGGUGAACCAGCGGAAGGAUCAUUACAGAGUUGCAAAACUCCCAAACCAUUGUGAACGUUACCUAUCCCGUUGCUUCGGCGGGCGGCCCGGGCCCCGCGCCCGGCGCCCCCCGGCCCCCCGUGGGUGCCCGCCGGAGGUAAACCAAACCCUUGAAUUGCAUGGCCUCUCUGAGUCUUCUGUACUGAAUAAGUCAAAACUUUCAACAACGGAUCUCUUGGUUCUG
rnacentral:misc_RNA from 1 species